rnacentral:rRNA from 1 species
GACGAACGCUGGCGGCGUGCCUAAUACAUGCAAGUUGAGCGCUGAAGGUUGGUACUUGUACCAACUGGAUGAGCAGCGAACGGGUGAGUAACGCGUGGGGAAUCUGCCUUUGAGCGGGGGACAACAUUUGGAAACGAAUGCUAAUACCGCAUAAAAACUUUAAACACAAGUUUUAAGUUUGAAAGAUGCAAUUGCAUCACUCAAAGAUGAUCCCGCGUUGUAUUAGCUAGUUGGUGAGGUAAAGGCUCACCAAGGCGAUGAUACAUAGCCGACCUGAGAGGAUGAUCGGCCACAUUGGGACUGAGACACGGCCCAAACUCCUACGGGAGGCAGCAGUAGGGAAUCUUCGGCAAUGGACGAAAGUCUGACCGAGCAACGCCGCGUGAGUGAAGAAGGGUUUCGGAUCGUAAAACUCUGUUGGUAGAGAAGAACGUUGGUGAGAGUGGAAAGCUCAUCAAGUGACGGUAACUACCCAGAAAGGGACGGCUAACUACGUG